rnacentral:lncRNA from 1 species
UUUUUAAUUUUAUCAAUCUAUCAUAACAUUUUCCAUAUGAAAUAGUAUCAUAAUCUUCAUGUAAGUCCUAUUUUUUCAUGCUUAAUUAUAAGAUUGAUUCCUUUUCCUUUUUAUUUGUCAAGGAUGCACUCUGCAGUUACAUCAAGAAUGUUUUUCAACAAAAGAAAAAAGAAGGUACAUCAAGAAGGUUUAUUCACUAUUUUUUGCAUAAUUAUUUAGAAAGUCUUAGCAACGGAUUUGUGUUUAGAUCAAUUUUAGGCCAUUUGUGUUGUUUCCAUAGAUUUGUCCUAAACUGAGAUAUU